rnacentral:rRNA from 1 species
GGCUACCUACGGGGGGCAGCAGUGGGGAAUAUUGGGCAAUGGAGGCAACUCUUACCCAGCAAUGCCGCGUGAAUGAAGAAGGUCUUCGGAUUGUAAAGUUCUUUAAUUGGGGACGAAAAAAAUGACGGUACCCAAGGAAUAAGCCCCGGCUAACUACGUGCCAGCAGCCGCGGUAAUACGUAGGUGGCGAGCGUUAUCCGGAAUGAUUGGGCGUAAAGGGUGCGUAGGCGGCCUGCUAAGUCUGGAGUGAAAGGUACCGGCUCAACCGGUACAGGCUCUGGAAACUGGCGGGCUAGAGAGCAGGG